UGGGGAAUUUUCCGCAAUGGAGGAAAGUCUGACGGAGCGACGCUGCGUGAAGGAGGACGGCCUGCGGGUUGUAAACUUCUUUUCUUGAAGAAGAAGAUAUGACGGUAUUCGAGGAAUAAGCAUCGGCUAACUCCGUGCCAGCAGCCGCGGUAAUACGGAGGAUGCAAGUGUUAUUCGGAAUGAUUGGGCGUAAAGAGUCUGUAGGCGGUAUAGAAAGUCUUUUGUUAAAUGCCUCGGCUCAACCGAGAUCCAGCAAAGGAAACUUCUAUACUUGAGGGAAGUAGAGGUACAGGGAAUUCCCGGUGGAGCGGUGAAAUGCGUAGAUAUCGGGAGGAACACCAAUAUGGCGAAGGCACUGUACUGGGCUUUACCUGACGCUCAGAGACGAAAGCUAAAGGAGUGAUUAGGAUUAGAUACCCUAGUAAUUUUAGCCGUAAACGAUGGAAACUCACUGCCGAGCGAAAUACA
rnacentral:rRNA from 1 species